rnacentral:misc_RNA from 1 species
AAGUCGUAACAAGGUAUCCGUAGGUGAACCUGCAGAUGGAUCAUUAUCAAAUUUGGAUUCAAUUCUACUAAUGUGAACUGUCGACGCUUAAAUGCCCUUUGGGGCAUGCGUCCCCAAUUUUUAAUUACUAUUAAUCUCACUAGUUAUCCAACUAACUAUAACUUUUAGCAACGGAUCUCUAGGCUCUC